rnacentral:rRNA from 2 species
AAAACUUUCAACAACGGAUCUCUUGGUUCUGGCAUCGAUGAAGAACGCAGCAAAAUGCGAUAAGUAAUGUGAAUUGCAGAAUUCAGUGAAUCAUCGAAUCUUUGAACGCACAUUGCGCCCGCCAGUAUUCUGGCGGGCAUGCCUGUUCGAGCGUCAUUUCAACCCUCAAGCC